ensembl:lncRNA
GCCCGCGUGCGGAGCCUCGACAGCGGUUCCUCCCCUUCCCGGCCAGUGUGUUUCUAUUCAAAAUGCUUUGUAGUUGCUAAUACCUGUACGAAUGAAUGAAUUUAGAAGGAGCUCAGCCCCUUCCCCGCACGUGGAUUCCAAUGGGAUUUAUCAGCUAUCCGUCUCUUUUUGAAGCCUCUUCCCCGCCACUUUCAGGUAGCUGUCCCUUGGAUGAAACUCCAGAUACGGUGGAAAGCGGCACCACCUAACAGCUUGAGCCAAAGCAUCAACAAAGCACACCCGUUUGGAACUACAAGAGAAAGUGGAAUAGAUGCAAAGCGCUUACCAAAGACUGGAUGCAGCCAAAGCACUUGUCCUAAAGAAAGGCCAUUGAGGUUUCUAAUAACUACCGGUCAUCCCCACUGCUGCCUUAGAUGCUGUCCAAAAGGUAACUUGGCAAAAACACGUUGCCAUCGGCAGCACGUAGAGGUGCAGCUUUAGUUCUGAGUAAGGAGGAAGAGUCCCUCCGAUCAAUUAAACUCCUCUGUCCUCUAUUGCUGGUUUUUCCUCUAAUAAUGUCACACGCACUUAUUCCAUUUCAGUUAUGAGAUCAAGCGAGAUCACAUCUAGAGGUUGAACGGUAAUAUAUUAGCUUUCAUAUUCAAUCCUUUCUCUUGUUAAGAAAGAAAAAUUCUCCCUCCACCGUUAUAAAAGGACAGCAAAUCCUUCCCUGCCCAAACACACUGUGUAAAUAUACAUUUAAUUUUUCUCCUCGCUAACAGAAAUUCUUGCCAUUUUGGAUGGCGCUAAUUCCAUUUUCUCAAGCCAUGAGUCAACCAAGAGUUGAAUGAUUCACCCUGGCAUGGACAUAAUCUCUGGGGAAGUAAUUAAGUGCACGCUGAUCACUCUUGCACAGAAACCCAACACCGGUGGGGCAGCUGUUAAUAUAUAUAUAUAUUUGCCCUUCUUGGGUCACACUCUCAGCUAGCUAAGGGUUUAUGUACAGCAUUAGUUAAACAGCCAACAUCCACAUAGCCGUGCUUUAUGCCAGCUCACAUCCGCACGCAGCCACAUACACAAGCUGUCCCUGCCACCUACAGAUCCUUCUCUCCAGUCCUUCUCCCUCUCUCUCUGCCAAGCUCCUCCAAUGGGACGCAAGUUGGGCCGACUACCAAAAAUCAAACGUAGAAAAAAAUAGAUCAAGAAACAAGAAUAUUAGCUGGCAUUAAUUUCUUCG